CGCUGCAAGGGCAGCCAUGAAGGAAGAACACCUUCCAAAAUUCUCAAACUCUCAUUCAAUCUUCAAUCCUUGAUAACUUUUGAUCCGAGACUCCGAUCACCGCACUGUUUGCGACCAUGCGACAACGUCGCCAAGCUCUACAAAGCCCACAACUUUAUUUUUGAGGAUCCAACUAGCUCGAAGAAGAGGCUUAAUCUUGUCUCUUUGAUUCUUGGGUAAAGUAGUGUGUAUGUGAAUAUUGAAGCUUGAUUGAAGUCUUAGAGAGCUUGGAAUAAAAUUUUUGUGCUGAAAAAUCUGAUAUUGGAGGUGUUGGAGUCUUGAAAGUUGAGGAAAAGUUGAAUUAGAAGUGUUCCGAGUUGAGCGGAGAAUCGGCCAAGAUGCAGGACGUGAGGCUCCUUGCUAAGGCACGCUGGAGACUUCUAGAUUAGCGAAGAUCCUUAGCUCUCGAGACUUUAUUUUGGUUUUAUGUACUUACUUAGAUAUAUAUUAUCUCCACUAUAUACAUAUAUAAUGUUUUGACUCCUCUUAGAGGUUACUUUAGAGAACAGGUUCUGUAACUUGUCUUUUGGGUUGUCUUUUCGGUUCCUUACUUUAUAUAUGUAUGUAUACUUAUAUUCUCGGACCGGUUA